rnacentral:rRNA from 1 species
UACGGGGGGGGGCAAGCGUUGUUCGGAAUUACUGGGCGUAAAGGGCUUGUAGGUGGCCAACUAAGUCAGACGUGAAAUCCCUCGGCUUAACCGGGGAACUGCGUCUGAUACUGGAUGGCUUGAGUUUGGGAGAGGGAUGCGGAAUUCCAGGUGUAGCGGUGAAAUGCGUAGAUAUCUGGAGGAACACCGGUGGCGAAGGCGGCAUCCUGGACCAAUACUGACACUGAAAAGCGAAAGCCAGGGGAGCAAACGGG